UUAUCGGCCCUUACUCAAUAUAAUCGUUAAAAAACCGCUAUGAAUAUACACACAUACACAUACACACACACAUAUAUAUAUAUAUAUAAAUCUCGUGCCGACUUUAGCCGCCCUCGCGAGAAUUAAUAAUCGCACGCAUGUGCUCGAAAUAAUGGGCUGCAAUAUGUGCAUCGCGGGAACAAUGCGCGCGCCAGGGAAGGAAUUCGCAGCGAUUCGGAUCGAGGGUUGACCUAACUCAACUUGCCUCGUUGCAUACGAGGUCCUCGAAACACGGAGGGAACGGAACAAUGCAUCGAGGAAGUGCGGAAAGAGAGAGAGAGAGAGAGAGAGAGAGAGAGAGAGAACGCAACUGCCUGCACUGCAUCCUUUUGUCGUUUCAUCUCGCUCGAUUUUCUUCUUUCCUCCUCCUCCUCUUUCCCCCCACCCCCUCUCCUUUUCACGACAACCCGUUAUUCCAUCUCGAAUGAUGGAAAACUCAUUCAACGUGAGUAACGGUAAUAGAACUCUUUCCAUUUCGAUGUACGAUGUUCUAAAAAAGAAAAAAAAAAAGGGAGGAAAAUCGUGAAAGAAUAGGAAAAAAGCGAAGAGAAAAGGAUCUAGGAUCGUGUACAGAUAGAUGGCGAAUCGCGGUGUUAACUGGGUUUUCGUGUCGAGUCAAGGUGUUUCCUACGUGAACGUAAACCAUACGUCGGCCACGAUACGAGAAUCUCGAAUGAAUCGAAGAGAGAGAGAAAGAGAGAAAGAGAGAAAACCUCGUACGGCGAGAGAAUCGCGAAUAGUCUCGGUAUAAUUCUGUCCAGGCAGCGCUAAUUGCACAAUAACCACCGAUUAGUUUCUUCGUUUCUUUCCAUCUGGGUAAAAUCGAUCGAUUGCAAUCGUUAAUCAGAUGUGUUAAUUAAUGUUACGUGAACAUUGACACAAUGUUGCGUUGACACUUGUAAAUUACGCCCGAGUUAAGAAUACCUAUUCCAAUCAAAAAAGGGAACAUUCCUUCCAAUUAAAGAAAAAAGAUCGUGCAUCGUCGAAUUCGAACAAAAAAUACGAAAAUGAAAAUAUAAAUAGAUAUUCCAAAUAUUUCGAAUAAACGAAAUAUAUUUUUUCAGAAAAAUAUUUUCAAGAGAAUAAUAUUCAUUGGAAAAAAAAUUGAAAAAUUUUCUUACCCAAAUUUUAGUCGCGAGGAAAAGUCCCUGCUCUCUAUCUCGAAACUAGAUUCUAACCAAACGACUCUCGCGUCAUCUGCCAAGAAAAAGUCUCAUUACACGCGGUAAACGCGUCUUAAAAUGAAACCGAAGCCUCGCUAUUUUCAACGUCGGACCGUUUCCUGAAAGCGUUCUCCCUCUCAAGGCAGGUUCGCAAAGGAGGAAGAAAAAGGCGAGAGAGGAAGGCGAGGGAAGGAUUUUCUGGGAAGGCGAUGUACAGUGGAGAUUUCACAUUUGCUCGUUAACGAUGGACGAAUAAUACAUGAUAAGUCGAAUUCGAGGUUGGAGGUUAGGAAUUUCGAAGAUCACGCGAACGUAAAAAUAAUUUCGUUCGGAUUCAAUGCGAUUACUUUUCUGUACAAACGAUUAAAUUUUCAAAGAUUUUCAAAUCGUCUUUCGAAUCUUUUCACCCGUUUUUCUUCCCUUUUCUCUUCUUUCACGUUUCCACUCGCUUUCUCCGCGUGGGGAGAAGCCUGACCGAUCGCGUUACACGCAACUGCGCAAAAUCGUGCGAGCAGCCGUGACUUUCGUCUAACUAUGCGUCUGCUCUUACUUUAAUUAGCAGCCGUAUUAUGCAUUUUAAUCCAUCAUUUCCGUAGUUUUACUAUUAGUAGUUCCCGGGAGACCGGCGUAAUAAAGCUACGCGAAUUUCUAGCACGCUCGUGACUAAAAUUCGAGAGAUGGAUUUAGUUUGAUAUUUUAAUUGGAAUUUCACUUCUGAAGGAACUUGCACCAACUUCAGGACAGAAGAAAAUGGGAUUUGCGCGGUGUUUGUAAAAAGGAACUCGUUAAAAUGUUAAUUCGAUCCCGGCAAAUUGAACGCGCGAAUACGAAGAAGAUAGGGAUUAGACUGAGGAAAAUAAUCGAUCGAUGUUACGUAAGAUGGCGACACGCAUCGGAACGAGAAAGUGUACGAACGGCCUUAAAAGAGGUCGGUCAGAUGCCAAUAAAAGGCAAACGUUCGUAGACGAGGAAUGACUCAUUGAUCGUUGCAUUCAUAUUGCAAAUGCGAGGGCGUUUGUCGCACAUUUUUCGAAAAUAACCAAUUGGGUGGGACGUUUGAAGGAAGUCUCUUGCGAAAGAUGAAAAUAAAAUUAUUAUUGAUUUUAUACGCUGAAUUUCUACAUCUCCUUAUAUAUAUAUAUGUUUUGGAAAAUUUCACGAAACGAAUUGGCCAAAUUAUCUUAACGUAAUAAAAUUGGAAAUACGCGGAUAGAAUUUCAAACGAGUUCUCGAAAUAAAGUUGCAACUAGUAGGCUCGAUUAACGAGAGCAGACUCGUUCACGAGUCUGUCUCGAGGAGAUUUCAAAGGAAAUCGGAUACGUAGAGAAUCGUGAAUAAAUUAGCAAUACGAGUUAGAAUAGAUUAAGGAAUAAAAACUUGCAAGUGUUUCAAGUUGCAAAUCCAUUAAAGAGCCCAUUUCAAACCUGAUUGUGGAUUGACGUAUGAUUACGUGAAUACAAGUUGUCAAUGGGGGAAUGGUUGUCAGGAAGCCUAGCUAUCUGUAAUUUAUGAGCUUGUGAAUAAUUUAAAAUGAACAAUUUUUCUUUUUUUUUUUUUUUUUUUUUUUUAGAAGAAACUAUUGAACGCUUUAACUCAUCGUUCCGUCCAUUUAUCGAACGGAAUAUUUUAAAAACGAUUUUUUUUUUUUUUCAUAAUAAAAUUAACACGCAUAUUCAAAGUUGUAACACGACAAAGUUAUGCUCCAUGCUUUUAAACCUCUUUUUUACAUUCGUUAAAAACCGAAUAGAAGUGUUAUGGAGAACUAAUUCUGACCGAUUCAUAAUGCCAGAACCGGUUCUCAACGAUUUUUAAAGAAUGAUCGCUACACGUGGAUUAUCAGAAGCAAACGAUUCAAAGGUUUGAAAAAUAUACAGGAUAAUUCUGAAUUAUCGUGGAAUUGCCUUUUUCAACCACUUUUAACUCGUGCGAAAAAUAACAAUUGGUUCGAGAUUUAGCACGGGACGGCGAAAAAGCUAGCCGAUUGACGGACAAGCGGCGAAUGAAUCAUUCGGUUGAAUCAUUUCGGACGUUUACGAUGCGAGGGCGUGCGGCCUGUUGUCGCCGCGCAUUGAAACGAGCGGCCGUCGGGAGAAGGAAAGUCCCGAUGGUGAACGAACCAGGCUGCGCGGCGUGGCGUGGCUCGAAGCAGAAGCGUGAACAAUGCGGAAGAAUAUUUUGUCGAAAAGAUAGUUGACAGUUUCCGCGUUUCGAUUCGAGGGAAUUAAAAACAGGAGGAGGAGAGAUACCUUUCCCUUUCCCUUGAAGAUCCUUGCUCCUCACAAAUAUCCAUGUGUGCGUGUUUUUGUGCAAGAUAAUUUCGUCAUGAAAAAUGUGUAUCAAGUCGUCCAUAAGAAUAAUUUACAAAAAUAUAAUAAUAAUCGUUCAAGGAUGGAUUGUUGACGAGUAAUUUGUCAAUUAUCGAUACGAGCACGGAAACAACGAGGUUAGAGUUGGACGAGUUAGAGGUUAGGAAGAAAACAAAUUCGGUUUAUUUGUACAUCUUAUUACUCUUGGCUUCCCUCAUUACAGAAUCUCGCUGUCAUUAUGUAAUUUCCAGGUGUUAAUCGAAAGGUCGUCAAAAUUACGACCUUUCCCGCAUGGAGGGGGGGGGGGACAGGCCUAGAAAGUCCAAGAAGUCUAGAAUUGUCCAGUCACUCUAUAAAUAACCGGCGCAGCGCAUUAUAUUAGCGGAAUUUUGCAUAACGGCCGGCCAGACGAAAUAAUUGACUUUCGCUUUUACCGAGCGAGCGAGCGAGCGAGCUUUUACCCGCGUCUGCGAUUAUAACGCUGCAUUCGGUAUAAUUGUAUCGCAAUGGCGAGUAUCGAUCUAAUUAGGCUGAUUAAUCGUUAAUAUAUAUAGAUAGAAAUCGUUUAGCUCGUUGAACUUGUCUGUUAAUUUUGUAUAUUUUUGACACCUCGUUUGACUCUCGUUGAACGAGAUUGUUUGAUUGGAAGGAUUGGUAAAUUUGAUAAACUUUAUUUAAUAUUUAAUUUUGAUUUAAAGAUAUAAAUUUUGAAUUAUAAAUUAUCCUUAAGAGUAACAGGAUAAUAUAAUAGAUUUUGAUGGAUCAUAUAGAUAAAGGUAGAUUUGAAUUAGUUAUUUUAAUAAUUUUGUAAUUGUUUCAAUAUUGAUCGAAAUGUUUUAAUAAAAUUUAAAUCGAGAAACGUUGGUCAAUAUCCUCGAAAUUUUUCGAGUUACUUUGAUAUUUCGAAUUGAUUGAAUCGACACACGUGAGUUUUCUUUCAUCGUAGAUUAAAAUAUUCAAUAUUAUAAGAAAACUAUUCUUCGAUAUUUUGUCAAUUAAAUUAAAUUCAAAAUCUUGACGAAAAGUCACUAGAAUGAAUAAAUACCGCUUGCUCAAUUUUCGAAAUCCUCAGAUUUUCUACAACACUCGAAACUUAACCUAACCUUUCUUCGAUUAUUUCAAAUUGGUCAAUUUUUCUGGUUUAACAAGAAUCGACACACGUGAGUUUUCUUUCAUCGUAGAUUAAAAUAUUCAAUAUUAUAAGAAAACUAUUCUUCGAUAUUUUGUCAAUUAAAUUAAAUUCAAAAUCUUGAUAAAAAGUCACUAGAAUGAAUAAAUACCGCUUGCUCAAUUUUCGAAAUCUCCAGAUUUUUCAUAACACUCGAAAUCUUUAACUUAACCUAACCUUUCUUCGAUCAUUUCAAAUUGGUUAAUCUUUCUGGUUUAACAAGAAUCGACACACGUGAGUUUUCUUUCAUCGUAGAUUAAAAUAUUCAAUAUUAUAAGAAAACUAUUCUUCGAUAUUUUAUCAAUUAAAUUAAAUCUUGACGAAAAGAAUGAAUAAAUACCGCUUGUUCAAUUUUCGAAAUCCCCAGAUUUUCCACAACACUCGAAAUCCUUAACUUAAUCUAACCUUUCUUCGAUCAUUUCAAAUUGGUCAAUCUUUCUGGUUUAACAAGUAUCAGAAAGUAUCGGUAAACAACGUAUAUAACAACGUUUCCUAUCAGUGGCUACGCAUAUUCUGGAAACUCGUUUGACUCUAGACAUUUUUCUCCACUUUUCUCGUCCCCGCUUCGCGUUCAGUCGGCUAUCCUUCUCCCGCUACCCGCUUGUCUGACUUUUCUCCUUACGUAACCGCGUAACUGCGGCGCAAGGAUGCGGUUAGACCUUUCGAAGCGUGUUUCUCUGCCCGAUGUCACGUAAGACGCGAGUCACUCAGUCACGAUCUCAAUUUCACUCUCUCACGUUGUCAAAUAAUCGCCGCCAUUAAUCCGUUCGCAUCUCUUUCUCCCGAACGAUCAUCGAAACGAACUUUCCAUCAUCUUUUUCUCCUAAAUCUUUCCUUUUCUAUCCCCCCCCCCUCUCCUGUUAGUUUAGAUUUCAGGUAAAAAGAAACUAGUGACAACAAACGAGUUUUCAUGUUAAAAGAUAUCAAUAUCACGUGGAAUUUAUAGGAAGAUAUUUUUGUAAAAUUAAGAAAAAUUCGGGAAUAUUAAUCGUAACUGGAUUGAAAUUUCUCGAAAUAAAUUAAUUGCCCGACUAAUUUUCCAAAUUAGCCUCGUUAAUUCCCGUGUAACAGACGUACAAUUAUAUAGCUUGUUAAAUCGCAGAAAUACAAACGACGCUUGUGCGUCUAGGGGAAGUAACUAGGAGGGCCGCCAUGUUGCUCGAACGAUGUUUGUUCGAAUAAAGUGUACGAACCGUGGCGAGGAAUGUUUGAGAGAGAGAGAGAGAG
rnacentral:lncRNA from 1 species